UGGGGAAUAUUGCACAAUGGGCGCAAGCCUGAUGCAGCAACGCCGCGUGAGGGACGACGGCCUUCGGGUUGUAAACCUCUUUUAGUAGGGAAGAAGCGAAAGUGACGGUACCUGCAGAAAAAGCACCGGCUAACUACGUGCCAGCAGCCGCGGUAAUACGUAGGGUGCGAGCGUUGUCCGGAAUUAUUGGGCGUAAAGAGCUCGUAGGCGGUCUGUCGCGUCUGCUGUGAAAACCCGAGGCUCAACCUCGGGCCUGCAGUGGGUACGGGCAGACUAGAGUGCGGUAGGGGAGAAUGGAAUUCCUGGUGUAGCGGUGGAAUGCGCAGAUAUCAGGAGGAACACCGAUGGCGAAGGCAGUUCUCUGGGCCGUAACUGACGCUGAGGAGCGAAAGCGUGGGGAGCGAACAGGAUUAGAUACCCUGGUAGUCCACGCCGUAAACGUUGGGCGCUAGAUGUGGGGACCAUUCCACGGUUUCCGUGUCGCAGCUAACGCAUUAAGCGCCCCGCCUGGGGAGUACGGCCGC
rnacentral:rRNA from 1 species